rnacentral:lncRNA from 1 species
UUGGUCUACCAGAGAGGGCACAUGUGCCUCAAUUGGCCUAUAGCAUAGUGGCUCAUUAUCCUUCCACCGCUGGUGGCGGGCGGUACUCGCUGCUCUGUGAAGCCAGCCUCACGCAAUGUCCGCCACUUUAGGUGUUGGGAUGCAAAGGCUUUCGCCAAGGCAUCCGAAACCCACUACACAACUUGGAAUGGGUGGUCCACAGUUUGUAGCAAUAGACCCAGGCACAUGCACCACAAUUGACAUUCACACUACCUUAUUGCCCCCGCUCGGGUUACAAGCAAUCGCUACUUGCUCAGCGAGUGAGGGGGUUCAAGACUACCUAUUUAAGGUGGUGUUGUACUGUAUGAGCCGGCGGUGUGGUAUUUACCAACUACAAAUAGUGUCAUGCAUGUGACUUGCUAGUUGACAAUGUCUAUUGUCGAGCUAGAUGUGGGCUAUAGAUGAAGCACAUUAGGAUAUAGUAGGCCUAUUUUGUUUUUUGUUGUUUUUGGGCCACUAUGGACUUUAUGUUGAUGUUGUGAAAUUUUUUCUUGUGUUUCCUCUUCCUACGAUGUGGAAAGUGGGUGCUUCAGAGAAGAAAGAAAGAGUGGCUAGCAUUGAUUUUACGUCAUACCAUUGAGAACACUAAUCAGAAGCAGAAGCAACAAUAUUUCAUACAUAUACAACACUUGUAAUCCAUAUAAACAACUUUCCUUUCAAAUAUAAUAUAAACCACAUGAUUUAUAUCCUGGGUCGGCUAUCUCCACAAAGGGCAAGAAAACGCUCCAAGUUUGUAGUAUAGCACUAAAAGUGUCGACUCUCACGAUUUCUUCCCGACAUAUGCAAACUAGACAGUAAUCACAUAAAAUAAAGAAAUAUGUGUUAACACAAACUUAUAGCAUGUAUUUCAACAUAUAGAUUUUUGAUUAUUAUGGUAGAUUAUAUAAUAUAGGGGUUCCCGAAAAAAUACAUAAAAAACAAGAGCAUUAAAAUUUCCUUUUCAGAUCUGGCUAACUGGUAAAGGGAGUUGGAGUAUCUGAGUUUCCAAAUUUGGGACGUCGCUCUAUAGAAGGAAUAUAAAUACAUUGGAAAAAAUUCUACAAGGAAAGGUUUAAUACAAGUAGCGCUAAGAAAAACUCAAUGAGGCUUUGGUCGCUUGGUCACAAAACUUGAGACAAGAAACACGAAGACACCAAGGUAAUUAGUAUGAGAGUUUUCCAAAUUUGGUGUCUUGAUGUAGAAAAAAUAAAUAUAUGACAAACUUGUUUUUUCGCAAGGCAUGGAUAAAUAAGUGGGGGUGAGCAAUAAAUUUCAUCCUAGAUUUAGAAGGAAUAAAUAUAUCACUAAAUACGUUUUUUCACAAUGCCAAGUUAAUCAGGUGGGAGCGAGAAACAAUUCUAGCGAGGCUAGGUUGUACUAGCCCAAAACUACAUACAACAGAGGAAAAAUAAAGAAAAUGAUGGUCUACCAAAUAGGGCGCAUGAGCCUUAAGGUGCACCUAGAGGGAAGUAGAAGAAAUAAAUAUAUAAUAGCAUAUGUUUUUCGCAAUGCAAGGUAAAGUGUAGAUGUGCUCUAACUGGGCUUAGAUUGCAGCGACACAUUAUGCAUCUACAAGGCUUGGUUGCACAUGGAAAAAGAUAGAGAGAGAAAUGUAGACGCAGGACCGGGAGAAAAACAUUCAAUGAGACGUGAUUGCACGGACAUAGAACUAGAUAUAAGACAAGAGUUAAAGAAAAAUAAAGGAACUAAAUUUUCUUCUGCACACUAAGCAUGAAUGGAGUUGUAGUAUCUGAGAUCAAAAUUUAAUUUAUUCCAAGAUGCAGAACAAAAACGUGAUACUCGUAAUGGUUACAUAGGAACAAAAGUAGAUAAGAAAAAUAGCAAAAAGAUAGUGGUCUACCAGAGAGGGCACAUGUGCCUCAAUUGGCCUAUAGCAUAGCGACUCAUUAUCCUUCCACCGCUGGUGGCGGGCGGUACUCGCUGCUCUGUGAAGCCAGCCUCACGCAAUGUCCGCCACUUUAGGUGUUGGGAUGCAAAGGCUUUCGCCAAGGCAUCCGAAACCCACUACACAACUUGGAAUGGGUGGUCCACAGUUUGUAGCACUAGACCCAGGCACAUGCACCACAAUUGACAUCCACACUACCUUAUUGCCCCCGCUCGGGUUACAAGCAAUCGCUACUUGCUCAGCGAGUGAGGGGGUUCAAGACUACCUAUUUAAGGUGGUGUUGUACUCUAUGAGCCGGCGGUGUGGUAUUUACCAACUACAAAUAGUGUCAUGCAUGUGACUUGCUAGUUGACAAUGUCUGUUGUCAAGCUAGGUGUGGGCUAUGGAUGAAGCACAUUAGGAUAUAGUAGGCCUAUUUUGUUUUUUGUUGUUUUUGGGCCACUAUGGACUGUAUGUUGAUGUUGUGAAAUUUUUUUCUUGUGUUUCCUCUUCCUACGAUGUGGAAAGUGGGUGCGUCAGAGAAGAAAGAAAGAGUGGCUAGCAUUGAUUUUACGUCAUACCAUUGAGAACACUAAUCAGAAGCAGAAGCAACAAUAUUUCAUACAUAUACAACACUUGUAAUCCAUAUAAACAACAUUCCUUUAAAAUAUAAUAUAAACCACAUGAUUUAUAUCCUGGGUCGGCUAUCUCCACAAAGGGCAAGAAAACGCUCCAAGUUUGUAGUAUAGCACUAAAAGUGUCGAUUCUCACGAUUUCUUCCCGACAUAUACAAACUAGACAGUAAUCACAUAAAAUAAAGAAAUAUGUGUUAACACGAACUUAUAACAUGUAUUUCAACAUAUAGAUUGUUGAUUAUUAUGGUAGAUUAUAUAAAAUAGGGGUUCCCGAAGAAAUACAUAAAAACAAGAGCAUUAAAAUUUCCUUUUCAGAUCUGGCUAUCUGGUAAAAGGAGUUGGAGUAACUGAGUUUCCAAAUUUGUGACGUAGCUCUAUAGAAGGAAUAUAAAUACGUUGGAAAAAUUCUAUAAGGAAAGGUUUAAUACAAGUAGGGCUAAGAAAAACUCAAUGAGGCUUUGGUCGCAUGGUCACAAAACUUGAGACAAGAAACACGAAGACACCAAGGUAAUUAGUAUGAGAGUUUUCCAAAUUUGGUGUCUUGAUGUAGAAAAAAUAAAUAUAUGACAAACUUGUUUUUUCGCAAGGCAUGGAUAAAUAAGUGGGGGUGAGCAAUAAAUUUCAUCCUAGAUUUAGAAGGAAUAAAUAUAUCACUAAAUAUGUUUUUUCACAAUGCCAAGUUAAUCAGGUGGGAGCGAGAAACAAUUCUAGCGAGGCUAGGUUGUACUAGCCCAAAACUACAUACAACAGAGGAAAAAUGAAGAAAAUGAUGGUCUACCAAAUAUGGCGCAUGAGCCUUAAGGUGCACCUAGAGGGAAGUAGAAGAAAUAAAUAUAUAAUAGCAUAUGUUUUUCGCAAUGCAAGGUAAAGUGUAGAUGUGCUCUAACUGGGCUUAGAUUGCAGCGACACAUUAUGCAUCUACAAGGCUUGGUUGCACAUGGAAAAAGAUAGAGAGAGAAAUGUAGACGCAGGACCGGGAGAAAAACAUUCAACGAGACGUGAUUGCACGGACAUAGAACUAGAUAUAAGACAAGAGUUAAAGAAAAAUAAAGGAACUAAAUUUUCUUCUGCACACUAAGCAUGAAUGGAGUUGUAGUAUCUGAGAUCAAAAUUUAAUUUAUUCCAAGAUGCAGAACAAAAACGUGAUACUCGUAAUGGUUACAUAGGAACAUAAGUAGAUAAGAAAAAUAGCAAAAAGAUAGUGGUCUACCAGAGAGGGCACAUGUGCCUCAAUUGGCCUAUAGCAUAGCGACUCAUUAUCCUUCCACCGCUGGUGGCGGGCGGUACUCGCUGCUCUGUGAAGCCAGCCUCACGCAAUGUCUGCCACUUUAGGUGUUGGGAUGCAAAGGCUUUCGCCAAGGCAUCCGAAACCCACUACACAACUUGGAAUGGGUGGUCCACAGUUGGUAGCACUAGACCCAGGCACAUGCACCACAAUUGACAUCCACACUACCUUAUUGCCCCCGCUCGGGUUACAAGCAAUCGCUACUUGCUCAGCGAGUGAGGGGGUUCAAGACUACCUAUUUAAGGUGGUGUUGUACUCUAUGAGCCGGUGGUGUGGUAUUUACCAACUACAAAUAGUGUCAUGCAUGUGACUUGCUAGUUGACAAUGUCUGUUGUCAAGCUAGGUGUGGGCUAUGGAUGAAGCACAUUAGGAUAUAGUAGGCCUAUUUUGUUUUUUGUUGUUUUUGGGCCACUAUGGACUUUAUGUUGAUGUUGUGAAUUUUUUUUCUUGUGUUUCCUCUUCCUACAAUGUGGAAAGUGGGUGCGUCAGAGAAGAAAGAAAGAGUGGCUAGCAUUGAUUUUACGUCAUACCAUUGAGAACACUAAUCAGAAGCAGAAGCAACAAUAUUUCAUACAUAUACAACACUUGUAAUCCAUAUAAACAACAUUCCUUUAAAAUAUAAUAUAAACCACAUGAUUUAUAUCCUGGGUCGGCUAUCUCCACAAAGGGCAAGAAAACGCUCCAAGUUUGUAGUAUAGCACUAAAAGUGUCGAUUCUCACGAUUUCUUCCCGACAUAUACAAACUAGACAGUAAUCACAUAAAAUAAAGAAAUAUGUGUUAACACGAACUUAUAGCAUGUAUUUCAACAUAUAGAUUGUUGAUUAUUAUGGUAGAUUAUAUAAAAUAGGGGUUCCCGAAGAAAUACAUAAAAACAAGAGCAUUAAAAUUUCCUUUUCAGAUCUGGCUAUCUGGUAAAAGGAGUUGGAGUAACUGAGUUUCCAAAUUUGUGACGUAGCUCUAUAGAAGGAAUAUAAAUACGUUGGAAAAAUUCUAUAAGGAAAGGUUUAAUACAAGUAGGGCUAAGAAAAACUCAAUGAGGCUUUGGUCGCAUGGUCACAAAACUUGAGACAAGAAACACGAAGACACCAAGGUAAUUAGUAUGAGAGUUUUCCAAAUUUGGUGUCUUGAUGUAGAAAAAAUAAAUAUAUGACAAACUUGUUUUUCGCAAGGCAUGGAUAAAUAAGUGGGGGUGAGCAAUAAAUUUCAUCCUAGAUUUAGAAGGAAUAAAUAUAUCACUUAAUAUGUUUUUUCACAAUGCCAAGUUAAUCAGGUGGGAGCGAGAAACAAUUCUAGCGAGGCUAGGUUGUACUAGCCCAAAACUACAUACAACAGAGGAAAAAUGAAGAAAAUGAUGGUCUACCAAAUAUGGUGCAUGAGCCUUAAGGUGCACCUAGAGGGAAGUAGAAGAAAUAAAUAUAUAAUAGCAUAUGUUUUUCGCAAUGCAAGGUAAAGUGUAGAUGUGCUCUAACUGGGCUUAGAUUGCAGCGACACAUUAUGCAUCUACAAGGCUUGGUUGCACAUGGAAAAAGAUAGAGAGAGAAAUGUAGACGCAAGACCGGGAGAAAAACAUUCAAUGAGACGUGAUUGCACGGACAUAGAACUAGAUAAAAGACAAGAGUUAAAGAAAAAUAAAGGAACUAAAUUUUCUUCUGCACACUAAGCAUGAAUGGAGUUGUAGUAUCUGAGAUCAAAAUUUAAUUUAUUCCAAGAUGCAGAACAAAAACGUGAUACUCGUAAUGGUUACAUAGGAACAUAAGUAGAUAAGAAAAAUAGCAAAAAGAUAGUGGUCUACCAGAGAGGGCACAUGUGCCUCAAUUGGCCUAUAGCAUAGCGACUCAUUAUCCUUCCACCGCUGGUGGCGGGCGGUACUCGCUGCUCUGUGAAGCCAGCCUCACGCAAUGUCCGCCACUUUAGGUGUUGGGAUGCAAAGGCUUUUGCCAAGGCAUCCGAAACCCACUACACAACUUGGAAUGGGUGGUCCACAGUUUGUAGCACUAGACCCAGGCACAUGCACCACAAUUGACAUCCACACUACCUUAUUGCCCCCGCUCGGGUUACAAGCAAUCGCUACUUGCUCAACGAGUGAGGGGGUUCAAGACUACCUAUUUAAGGUGGUGUUGUACUCUAUGAGCCGGCGGUGUGGUAUUUACCAACUACAAAUAGUGUCAUGCAUGUGACUUGCUAGUUGACAAUGUCUGUUGUCAAGCUAGGUGUGGGCUAUGGAUGAAGCACAUUAGGAUAUAGUAGGCCUAUUUUGUUUUUUGUUGUUUUUGGGCCACUAUGGACUUUAUGUUGAUGUUGUGAAUUUUUUUUCUUGUGUUUCCUCUUCCUACGAUGUGGAAAGUGGGUGCGUCAGAGAAGAAAGAAAGAGUGGCUAGCAUUGAUUUUACGUCAUACCAUUGAGAACACUAAUCAGAAGCAGAAGCAACAAUAUUUCAUACAUAUACAACACUUGUAAUCCAUAUAAACAACAUUCCUUUAAAAUAUAAUAUAAACCACAUGAUUUAUAUCCUGGGUCAGCUAUCUCCACAAAGGGCAAGAAAACGCUCCAAGUUUGUAGUAUAGCACUAAAAGUGUCGAUUCUCACGAUUUCUUCCCGACAUAUACAAACUAGACAGUAAUCACAUAAAAUAAAGAAAUAUGUGUUAACACGAACUUAUAGCAUGUAUUUCAACAUAUAGAUUGUUGAUUAUUAUGGUAGAUUAUAUAAAAUAGGGGUUCCCGAAGAAAUACAUAAAAACAAGAGCAUUAAAAUUUCCUUUUCAGAUCUGGCUAACUGGUAAAGGGAGUUGGAGUAUCUGAGUUUCCAAAUUUGGGACGUCGCUCUAUAGAAGGAAUAUAAAUACAUUGGAAAAAAUUCUACAAGGAAAGGUUUAAUACAAGUAGCGCUAAGAAAAACUCAAUGAGGCUUUGGUCGCUUGGUCACAAAACUUGAGACAAGAAACACGAAGACACCAAGGUAAUUAGUAUGAGAGUUUUCCAAAUUUGGUGUCUUGAUGUAGAAAAAAUAAAUAUAUGACAAACUUGUUUUUUCGUAAGGCAUGGAUAAAUAAGUGGGGGUGAGCAAUAAAUUUCAUCCUAGAUUUAGAAGGAAUAAAUAUAUCACUAAAUAGGUUUUUUCACAAUGCCAAGUUAAUCAGGUGGGAGCGAGAAACAAUUCUAGCGAGGCUAGGUUGUACUAGCCCAAAACUACAUACAACAGAGGAAAAAUGAAGAAAAUGAUGGUCUACCAAAUAUGGCGCAUGAGCCUUAAGGUGCACCUAGAGGGAAGUAGAAGAAAUAAAUAUAUAAUGGCAUAUGUUUAUCGCAAUGCAAGGUAAAGUGUAGAUGUGCUCUAACUGGGCUUAGAUUGCAGCGACACAUUAUGCAUCUACAAGGCUUGGUUGCACAUGGAAAAAGAUAGAGAGAGAAAUGUAGAUGCAGGACCGGGUGAAAAACAUUCAAUGAGACGUGAUUGCACGGACAUAGAACUAGAUAUAAGACAAGAGUUAAAGAAAAAUAAAGGAACUAAAUUUUCUUCUGCACACUAAGCAUGAAUGGAGUUGUAGUAUCUGAGAUCAAAAUUUAAUUUAUUCCAAGAUGCAGAACAAAAAUGUGAUACUCGUAAUGGUUACAUAGGAGCAAAAGUAGAUAAGAAAAAUAGCAAAAAGAUAGUGGUCUACCAGAGAGGGCACAUGUGCCUCAAUUGUCUUAUAGCAUAGCGACUCAUUAUCCUUCCACCGCUGGUGGCGGGCGGUACUCGCUGCUCUGUGAAGCCAGCCUCACGCAAUGUCCGCCACUUUAGGUGUUGGGAUGCAAAGACUUUCGCCAAGGCAUCCGAAACCCACUACACAACUUGGAAUGGGUGGUCCACUGUUUGUAGCACUAGACCCAGGCACAUGCACCACAAUUGACAUCCACACUACCUUAUUGCCCCGCUCGGGUUACAAGCAAUCGCUACUUGCUCAGCGAGUGAGGGGGUUCAAGACUACCUAUUUAAGGUGGUGUUGUACUCUAUGAGCCGGCGGUGUGGUAUUUACCAACUACAAAUAGUGUCAUGCAUGUGACUUGCUAGUUGACAAUGUCUGUUGUCAAGCUAGGUGUGGGCUAUGGAUGAAGCACAUUAGGAUAUAGUAGGCCUAUUUUGUUUUUUGUUGUUUUUGGGCCACUAUGGACUUUAUGUUGAUGUUGUGAAAUUUUUUUCUUGUGUUUCCUCUUCCUACGAUGUGGAAAGUGGGUGCGUCAGAGAAGAAAGAAAGAGUGGCUAGCAUUGAUUUUACGUCAUACCAUUGAGAACACUAAUCAGAAGCAGAAGCAACAAUAUUUCAUACAUAUACAACACUUGUAAUCCAUAUAAACAACAUUCCUUUAAAAUAUAAUAUAAACCACAUGAUUUAUAUCCUGGGUCGGCUAUCUCCACAAAGGGCAAGAAAACGCUCCAAGUUUGUAGUAUAGCACUAAAAGUGUCGAUUCUCACGAUUUCUUCCCGACAUAUACAAACUAGACAGUAAUCACAUAAAAUAAAGAAAUAUGUGUUAACACGAACUUAUAGCAUGUAUUUCAACAUAUAGAUUUUUGAUUAUUAUGGUAGAUUAUAUAAAAUAGGGGUUCCCGAAGAAAUACAUAAAAACAAGAGCAUUAAAAUUUCCUUUUCAGAUCUGGCUAUCUGGUAAAAGGAGUUGGAGUAACUGAGUUUCCAAAUUUGUGACGUAGCUCUAUAGAAGGAAUAUAAAUACGUUGGAAAAAUUCUAUAAGGAAAGGUUUAAUACAAGUAGGGCUAAGAAAAACUCAAUGAGGCUUUGGUCGCAUGGUCACAAAACUUGAGACAAGAAACACGAAGACACCAAGGUAAUUAGUAUGAGAGUUUUCCAAAUUUGGUGUCUUGAUGUAGAAAAAAUAAAUAUAUGACAAAUUUGUUUUUUCGCAAGGCAUGGAUAAAUAAGUGGGGGUGAGCAAUAAAUUUCAUCCUAGAUUUAGAAGGAAUAAAUAUAUCACUAAAUACAUUUUUUCACAAUGCCAAAUUAAUCAGGUGGGAGCGAGAAACAAUUGUAGCGAGGCUAGGUUGUACUAGCCCAAAACUACAUACAACAGAGGAAAAAUGAAGAAAAUGAUGGUCUACCAAAUAUGGCGCAUGAGCCUUAAGGUGCACCUAGAGGGAAGUAGAAGAAAUAAAUAUAUAAUAGCAUAUGUUUUUCGCAAUGCAUGGUAAAGUGUAGAUGUGCUCUAACUGGGCUUAGAUUGCAGCGACACAUUAUGCAUCUACAAGGCUUGGUUGCACAUGGAAAAAGAUACAAAAAGAAAUGUAGACGCAGGACCGGGAGAAAAACAUUCAAUGAGACGUGAUUGCACGGACAUAGAACUAGAUAUAAGACAAGAGUUAAAGAAAAAUAAAGGAACUAAAUUUUCUUCUGCACACUAAGCAUGAAUGGAGUUGUAGUAUCUGAGAUCAAAAUUUAAUUUAUUCCAAGAUGCAGAACAAAAAUUUGAUACUCGUAAUGGUUACAUAGGAGCAAAAGUAGAUAAGAAAAAUAGCAAAAAGAUAGUGGUCUACCAGAGAGGGCACAUGUGCCUCAAUUGGCCUAUAGCAUAGCGACUCAUUAUCCUUCCACCGCUGGUGGCGGGCGGUACUCGCUGCUCUGUGAAGCCAGCCUCACACAAUGUCCGCCACUUUAGGUGUUGGGAUGCAAAGGCUUUCGCCAAGGCAUCCGAAACCCACUACACAACUUGGAAUGGGUGGUCCACUGUUUGUAGCACUAGACCCAGGCACAUGCACCACAAUUGACAUCCACACUACCUUAUUGCCCCGCUCGGGUUACAAGCAAUCGCUACUUGCUCAGCGAGUGAGGGGGUUCAAGACUACCUAUUUAAGGUGGUGUUGUACUCUAUGAGCCGGCGGUGUGGUAUUUACCAACUACAAAUAGUGUCAUGCAUGUGACUUGCUAGUUGACAAUGUCUGUUGUCAAGCUAGGUGUGGGCUAUGGAUGAAGCACAUUAGGAUAUAGUAGGCCUAUUUUGUUUUUUGUUGUUUUUGGGCCACUAUGGACUUUAUGUUGAUGUUGUGAAAUUUUUUUCUUGUGUUUCCUCUUCCUACGAUGUGGAAAGUGGGUGCGUCAGAGAAGAAAGAAAGAGUGGCUAGCAUUGAUUUUACGUCAUACCAUUGAGAACACUAAUCAGAAGCAGAAGCAACAAUAUUUCAUACAUAUACAACACUUGUAAUCCAUAUAAACAACAUUCCUUUAAAAUAUAAUAUAAACCACAUGAUUUAUAUCCUGGGUCGGCUAUCUCCACAAAGGGCAAGAAAACGCUCCAAGUUUGUAGUAUAGCACUAAAAGUGUCGAUUCUCACGAUUUCUUCCCGACAUAUACAAACUAGACAGUAAUCACAUAAAAUAAAGAAAUAUGUGUUAACACAAACUUAUAGCAUGUAUUUCAACAUAUAGAUUGUUGAUUAUUAUGGUAGAUUAUAUAAAAUAGGGGUUCCCGAAGAAAUACAUAAAAACAAGAGCAUUAAAAUUUCCUUUUCAGAUCUGGCUAUCUGGUAAAAGGAGUUGGAGUAACUGAGUUUCCAAAUUUGUGACGUAGCUCUAUAGAAGGAAUAUAAAUACGUUGGAAAAAUUCUAUAAGGAAAGGUUUAAUACAAGUAGGGCUAAGAAAAACUCAAUGAGGCUUUGGUCGCAUGGUCACAAAACUUGAGACAAGAAACACGAAGACACCAAGGUAAUUAGUAUGAGAGUUUUCCAAAUUUGGUGUCUUGAUGUAGAAAAAAUAAAUAUAUGACAAAUUUGUUUUUUCGCAAGGCAUGGAUAAAUAGGUGGGGGUGAGCAAUAAAUUUCAUCCUAGAUUUAGAAGGAAUAAAUAUAUCACUAAAUAUGUUUUUUCACAAUGCCAAGUUAAUCAGGUGGGAGCGAGAAACAAUUCUAGCGAGGCUAGGUUGUACUAGCCCAAAACUACAUACAACAGAGGAAAAAUGAAGAAAAUGAUGGUCUACCAAAUAUGGCGCAUGAGCCUUAAGGUGCACCUAGAGGGAAGUAGAAGAAAUAAAUAUAUAAUAGCAUAUAUUUUUCGCAAUGCAUGGUAAAGUGUAGAUGUGCUCUAACUGGGCUUAGAUUGCAGCGACACAUUAUGCAUCUACAAGGCUUGGUUGCACAUGGAAAAAGAUACAGAAAGAAAUGUAGACGCAGGACCGGGAGAAAAACAUUCAAUGAGACGUGAUUGCACAGACAUAGAACUAGAUAUAAGACAAGAGUUAAAGAAAAAUAAAGGAACUAAAUUUUCUUCUGCACACUAAGCAUGAAUGGAGUUGUAGUAUCUGAGAUCAAAAUUUAAUUUAUUCCAAGAUGCAGAACAAAAAUGUGAUACUCGUAAUGGUUACAUAGGAACAAAAGUAGUUAAGAAAAAUAGCAAAAAGAUAGUGGUCUACCAGAGAGGGCACAUGUGCCUCAAUUGGCCUAUAGCAUAGCGACUCAUUAUCCUUCCACCGCUGGUGGCGGGCGGUACUCGCUGCUCUGUGAAGCCAGCCUCACGCAAUGUCCGCCACUUUAGGUGUUGGGAUGCAAAGGCUUUCGCCAAGGCAUCCGAAACCCACUACACAACUUGGAAUGGGUGGUCCACAGUUUGUAGCACUAGACCCAGGCACAUGCACCACAAUUGACAUCCACACUACCUUAUUGCCCCCGCUCGGGUUACAAGCAAUCGCUACUUGCUCAGCGAGUGAGGGGGGGUCAAGACUACCUAUUUAAGGUGGUGUUGUACUCUAUGAGCAGGCGGUCUGGUAUUUACCAACUACAAAUAGUGUCAUGCAUGUGACUUGCUAGUUGACAAUGUCUGUUGUCGAGUUAGAUGUGGGCUAUGGAUGAAGCACAUUAGGAUAUAGUAGGCCUAUUUUGUUUUUUGUUGUUUUUGGGCCACUAUGGACUUUCUGUUGAUGUUGUGAAAUUUUUUCUUGUGUUUCCUCUUCCUACGAUGUGGAAAGUGGGUGCGUCAGAGAAGAAAGAAAGAGUGGCUAGCAUUGAUUUUACGUCAUACCAUUGAGAACACUAAUUAGAAGCAGAAGCAACAAUAUUUCAUACAUAUACAACACUUGUAAUCCAUAUAAACAACUUUCCUUUAAAAUAUAAUAUAAACCACAUGAUUUAUAUCCUGGGUCGGCUAUCUCUACAAAGGGCGAGAAAACGCUCCAAGUUUGUAGUAUAGAACUAAAAGUGUCGAUUCUCAUGAUUUUUCCGACAUAUACAAACUAGACAGUAAUCACAUAAAAUAAAGAAAUAUGUGUUAACACGAACUUAUAGCAUGUAUUUCAACAUACAUAUUGUUGAUUAUUAUGGUAGAUUAUAUAAAAUAGGGGUUCCCGAAGAAAUACAUAAAAACAAGAGCAUUAAAAUUUCCUUUUUAGAUCUGGCUAUCUGGUAAAAGGAGUUGGAGUAACUGAGUUUCCAAAUUUGUGACGUAGCUCUAUAGAAGGAAUAUAAAUACGUUGCAAAAAUUCUACAAGGAAAGGUUAAUACAAGUAGGGCUAAGAAAAACUCAAUUAGGCUUUGGUCGCAUGGUCACAAAACUUGAGACAAGAAACACGAAGACACCAAGGUAAUUAGUAUGAGAGUUUUCGAAAUUUGGUGUCUUGAUGUAGAAAAAAUAAAUAUAUGACAAACUUGUUUUUUCUCAAGGCAUGGAUUGAGAGCACCUAGAGGGGGGGGUGAAUAGGUGAUCCUGUGAAACUUGAAAACUUAAGCCACAAAACUUGGUUAAUCGUUAGCACAAUAAUUGCCAAGUGGCUAAAUAGGAAUCCUCAACAAAAUACAAUAACCAACAAAGAUCAAUCACAGAGAUGACACGGUGGUUAUCCCAUGGUUCGGCCAAGACCAACGCUUGCCUACUCCAUGUUGUGGCGUCCCAACGGACGAGGGUUGCAAUCAACCCCUCUCAAGCGGUCCAAAGACCCACUUGAAUACCACGGUGUUUUGCUUUGCUUAUCUUUAUCCCACUUGCGAGGAAUCUCCACAAAUUGGAGUCUCUCGCCCUUACACUUAAAGUUCACAAAGAAGCACGGAGUAAGGGAGGGAAGCAACACACACAAAUCCACAGCAAAAUGCGCACACACACGGCCAAGAAUCGAGCUCAAAAGACUAUCUCAAAGUUCUCACUAGAACGGAGCUCGAAUCACUGAGAAUGACAAACGAAUGCGCAAAGACUGAGUGUGGAUGAUCAAGAAUGCUCUAAGGUUGCUUGGUUUUUCUCCUCCAUGCGCCUAGGGGUCCCUUUUAUAGCCCCAAGGCGGCUAGGAGCCGUUGAGAACAAAUCUGGAAGGCCAUCCUUGCCUUCUGUCGUCGGGCGCACCGGACAGUCCGGUGCACACCGGACACUGUCCGGUGCCCGAUUUCCUUCCUUAAAUGGCGAAGCCGACCGUUGCAGAUGUGGGAGCCGUUGGCGCACCGGACAUGUCCGGUGCACACCGGACAGUCCGGUGCCCCCUUCCGACCGUUGGCUCGGCCACGUGUCGCGCGCGGAUUCCGUGGCCGACCGUUGGCCCGGCCGACCGUUGGCUCACCGGACAGUCCGGUGCACACCGGACAGUCCGGUGAAUUUUAGGCGUACGUCGCCGGUGAAUUCCCGAGAGCGGCCAGUUCGCUCGAGCCAGCCUGGCGCACCGGACACAGUCCGGUGCACCACCGGACAGUCCGGUGCCCCAGACCGAAACAGCCUCUUGGCUGUACACAGCCAACUCUUCUCUUUCCUUCUUCUUUUUGUUUCUGAUACUUAGACAAGUAUAUUAGUACACAAAACCAAUGUACUAAGACUUAGAAACAUACCUUUGCUCUUGAUUUGCACUUUGUCCAUUCAUGGGCAUAGAUUUACAUUUAAUUACUUGUGUUGGCACUCAAUCACCAAAAUACUUAGAAAUGGCCCAAGGGCACAUUUCCCUUUCAAUCUCCCCCUUUUUGGUGAUUUAUGCCAACACAACAUAAAGCAACUAGAACAAGUGCAAUAUUACUUCAAAUAAAAACUCAAAUUCAUUUUGAUUCAAUUUGGCAUAUAUGGAUCAUCCUUUGCCACCACUUGGUUUGUUUUUGCAAAUCAAACUCAAAAUCCUAUCUCUAAGUCAAAUCCACUUGUAGAGACAUAAAGAGAGGUUUUCCAUAGAAGAUUGAUUCAAGAUUCCAAAAACUCCCCCUUUUUCCCAUAAUCAACACUUCACCCCACAAGAGGCCAACUUUUGAUAAAAGAGACAAUGCAAGAGUAUUGACAAACCAAAAGCUCUAUCCUACUGUUUUCAAAGUUUCUCAAGUGGUAGCUGAUCCAUUUAUUGCUUUGGCCUUUAUUUUCUCCCCCUUUGGCGUCAAGCACCAAAACGGGAUCAAUCUUGGCCCUUUAACCCCAUUGCCUCACCAAAAUCUUCAAUUAAGAGCAAAUAGGCAAUAAGAGUUAAAAGAUGAACUUGGAAAAGUUACUCUUUUCAUCGGAGUGCAGUGGAAGUCUUGCAUGGUCCAAGUCCACCUUUUCCCUUUUAAUUCUCCUUCGAGACUAAAACAAGCAAACUCAAGCAUAUGGUUAGUCUCAAAGGGUCAAGUUGUAACACAUCUCCCCCUAAAACUGUGCAUCACUUUGCAACGGACUUGUGAGGUCCAGGGAGUGUUUGUACAACUUGAGCACCAUACUAAACAACAAAAUGCAAAAAGGAUCAUGAUCAAAAGCAUAAAUACAUGUAUGCUACAAUUCAAUCCAAGUUCCGCGAAUCUACGACAUUUAGCUCACUACGCAGCCUGCAAAAGGUCUUCUCAUCUAGAGGCUUGGUAAAGAUAUCGGCUAGCUGGUUCUCGGUGCUAACAUGAAACACUUCGAUAUCUCCCUUUUGCUGGUGAUCUCUCAAAAAGUGAUGCCGGAUGUCAAUGUGCUUUGUGCGGCUGUGUUCAACAGGAUUUUCCGCCAUGCGGAUAGCACUCUCAUUGUCACAUAGGAGUGGGACUUUGCUCAGAUUGUAGCCAAAGUCCCUGAGGGUUUGCCUCAUCCAAAGUAGUUGCGCGCAACACUGUCCUGCGGCAACAUACUCGGCCUCAGCGGUGGAUAGGGCAACGGAGGUUUGUUUCUUAGAGUUCCACGACACCAGGGACCUUCCUAAGAAUUGGCACGUCCCUGAUGUACUCUUCCUAUCGACCUUACAUCCAGCAUAGUCGGAAUCUGAGUUUCCAACCAAGUCAAAGGUAGACCCCUUUGGAUACCAGAGCCCGAAGCAAGGCGUAGCAACCAAAUAUCUAAGAAUUCGCUUCACCGCCACUAAGUGACACUCCUUAGGAUUGGAUUGAAAUCUAGCACACAUGCAUACGCUAAGCAUAAUAUCCGGUCUACUAGCACAUAAAUAAAGUAAAGACCCUAUCAUUGACCGGUAUGCUUUUUGAUCAACGGACUUACCUCCUUUGUUGAGGUCGGUGUGUCCGUCGGUCCCCAUCGGAGUCUUUGCGGGCUUGGCGUCCUUCAUCCCAAACCGCUUCAGCAGGUCUUGCGUGUACUUUGUUUGGGAGAUGAAGGUGCCGUCCUUGAGUUGCUUCACUUGAAACCCAAGGAAGUAGUUCAACUCGCCCAUCAUCGACAUCUCGAAUUUCUGCAUCAUAACCCUGCUAAACUCUUCACAAGACUUUUGGUUAGUAGAACCAAAUAUUAUGUCAUCGACAUAAAUUUGGCACACAAACAAAUCACCAUCACAUGUCUUAGUAAAAAGAGUUGGAUCGGCUUUCCCAACCUUGAAGGCAUUUGCAAUUAAAAAGUCUUUAAGGCAUUCAUACCAUGCUCUUGGGGCUUGCUUAAGUCCAUAGAGCGCCUUAGAGAGCUUACACACGUGGUCGGGGUACCGUUCAUCCUCGAAGCCAGGGGGUUGCUCUACGUACACCUCCUCCUUGAUUGGCCCGUUGAGGAAAGCGCUCUUCACAUCCAUUUGGAACAACCUGAAAGAAUGGUGAGCGACAUAUGCUAGCAAGAUACGAAUUGAUUCUAGCCUAGCCACAGGAGCAAACGUCUCCUCAAAGUCCAAACCUGCGACUUGGGCAUAACCUUUUGCCACAAGUCGAGCCUUGUUCCUCGUCACCACCCCGUGCUCGUCCUGUUUGUUGCGGAAUACCCACUUGGUUCCCACAACGUUUUGCUUGGGACGAGGCACCAGUGUCCAAACUUCAUUUCGCUUGAAGUUGUUGAGUUCCUCCUGCAUGGCUAACACCCAGUCCGGAUCUAGCAAGGCCUCUUCUACCCUGAAAGGCUCAAUAGAAGAGACAAAGGAGUAAUGCUCACAAAAAUUAACUAAUCGAGAUCGAGUAGUUACUCCCUUGCUAAUAUCACCCAGAAUUUGGUCGACGGGAUGAUCCCUUUGAAUCAUCGCUCGAACUUGGGUUGGAGGUGCCGGUUGUGCUUCUUCCUCCAUCACAUGAUCAUCUUGUGCUCCCCAUUGAUCACACUCCUCUUGAUGAACCUGUUCAUCGUUUUGAGUUGGGGGAUGCAUCAUUGUUGAGGAAGAAGGUUGAUCUUGCUCCAAUUGUUCCUGUGGUCGCACAUCACCAAUCGCCAUGGUGCGCAUAGCGGCCGUUGGAACGUCUUCUUCAUCUAAAUCAUCAAGAUCAACAACUUGCUCUCUUGGAGAGCCAUUAGUCUCAUCAAAUACAACGUCGCUAGAGACUUCAACCAAACCCGAUGAUUUGUUGAAGACUCUAUACGCCUUUGUAUUUGACUCAUAACCUAACAAAAACCCUUCUACAGCUUUGGGAGCAAACUUAGAAUUUCUACCCUUCUUUACUAGAAUGUAGCACUUGCUCCCAAAUACACGAAAGUAAGAUACAUUGGGUUUGUUACCGGUUAGUAGCUCAUACGAAGUCUUCUUGAGGAGGCGAUGAAGGUAGACCCUGUUGAUGGCGUGGCAAGCCAUGUUCACGGCUUCCGACUAGAAACACUCGGGGGUCUUGAAUUCUCCAAGCAUCGUCCUCGCCAUAUCGAUUAGUGUCCUGUUCUUCCUCUCUACCACACCAUUUUGCUGUGGUGUGUAGGGAGCGGAGAACUCGUGCUUGAUCCCUUCCUCCUCAAGGAACUCCUCCACUUGAAGAUUCUUGAAAUCGGACCCGUUGUCGCUCCUUAUCUUCUUCACCUUGAGCUCAAACUCAUUUUGAGCUCUCCUAAGGAAGCGCUUGAGGGUCCCUUGGGUUUCAGACUUAUCCUGCAAAAAGAACACCCAAGUGAAGCGGGAAAAGUCAUCGACAAUAACUAGACCAUACUUACUUCCCCCUAUGCUCAGAUAGGCGACGGGUCCGAAGAGGUCCAUAUGCAGCAGCUCCAGGGGUCUUGAAGUGGUCAUCACAUUCUUGCUGUGAUGCGCUCCUCCCACUUGUUUACCUGCUUGACAAGCUGCACAAGGUCUAUCUUUUUCGAAUUGUACGUUAGUCAAACCUAUCACGUGUUCUCCCUUUAGAAGCUUGUGAAGGUUCUUCAUCCCCACAUGUGCUAAGCGGCGAUGCCACAGCCAGCCCAUGCUAGUCUUAGCAAUUAAGCAUGCAUCUAGACCGGCCUCUUCUUUUGCAAAAUCAACUAAGUAAAGCUUGCCGUCUAAUACACCCUUAAAAGCUAGUGAACCAUCACUUCUUCUAAAGACAGACACAUCUACAUUUGUAAAUAGACAGUUAUAUCCCAUAUUGCAUAAUUGACUAACAGAUAACAAAUUAUAUCCAAGAGACUCUACUAAAAACACAUUAGAGAUAGAGUGCUCAUUAGAAAUUGCAAUUUUACCUAACCCUUUUACCUUGCCUUGAUUCCCAUCACCGAAUAUAAUUGAAUCUUGGGAAUCCUUAUUCUUGACGUAGGAGGUGAACAUCUUCUUCUCCCCCGUCAUAUGGUUUGUGCAUCCGCUGUCGAUAAUCCAGCUUGAACCCCCGGAUGCAUAAACCUGCAAGGCAAAUUUAGGCUUGGGACUUAGGUACCCAACUCUUGUUGGGUCCUACAAGGUUAGUCACAAUUUCCUUAGGGAUCCAAAUGCAAGUUUUAUCACCCUUGCAUUUUGCCCCUAACUUCCUAGCAAUCACCUUUCUAUCCUUUCUACAAAUUGCAAAGGAAGCAUUCAAAGCAUGAUAUAUUGUAGAAGGCUCAUUAACUUUCCUAGGCACAUUAACAACAUUUCUCCUAGGCAUAUUAUGAACAACAUUUCUCCUACCAACGUUCCUAUCAUGCUCAUAGAAAGAACUAGAAGCAACCAUGUCAUGAUAAACAUAUGAAUCAAAAACAUUAUAACUUCUAUUUGCAUUUCUAGUAUGUCUCCUAUCAUGAUACAUAAAAGCAUGGUUCUUUUUAGCACUACCAGCCAUAGGGGCCUUCCCUUUCUCCUUGGCGGAAAUGGGAGCCUUAUGGCUUGUUAAGUUCUUGGCUUCCCUCUUGAAGCCAAGUCCAUCCUUAAUUGAGGGAUGUCUACCAAUCGUAUAGGCAUCCCUUGCAAAUUUUAAUUUAUCAAAUUCGCUUUUGCUAGUCUUAAGUUGGGCAUUAAGACUAGCCACUUCAUCAUUCAAUUUAGAAAUUGAAACUAGGUGUUCACUACAAGCAUCAACAUUAAAAUCUUUACACCUAGUGCAAACCAUAACAUGUUCUACACAAGAGUUAGAUUUACUAGCCACUUCUAGUUUAGCAUUUAAAUCAUUAUUAACACCUUUUAAAGUAGCAAUGGUUUCAUGACAAGAAGAUAAUUCACUAGAAAGCACUUCAUUUCUUUUAACUUCUAAAGCAUAAGAUUUUUGUGCCUCUACAAAUUUGUCAUGCUCUUCAUAUAAAAGAUCCUCUUGUUUUUCUAAGAGUCUAUCCUUUUCAUUCAAGGCAUCAAUCAAUUCAUUAAUCUUUUCUACUUUAGUUCUAUCCAAUCCCUUGAACAAACUAGAGUAAUCUAUUUCUUCAUCACUGGACUCAUCAUCACUAGAAGAAUCAUAAGUGACAUUGUUUUGAUUGCAUACCUUCUUCUCCCUUGCCAUAAGGCAUGUGUGACGCUCGUUGGGGAAGAGGGAUGACUUGUUGAAGGCGGUGGCGGCGAGUCCUUCAUUGUCGGAGUCGGAGGAGAAGCAAUCUGAAUCCCACUCCUUUCCGAUAUGUGCCUCGCCCUUGGCCUUCUUGUAAUGCUUCUUCUUCUCCCUUUUGUUCCCCUUUUCCUGGUCACUUUCAUUAUCGGGACAGUUAGCAAUGAAAUGACCAAUCUUACCGCAUUUGAAGCACGAGCGCUUCUCCUUUGUCUUGGUCUUGCUUGGCUGUCCCUUGCGACCUUUAAGCGCCGUCUUGAAGCGCUUAAUGAUGAGGGCCAUCUCCUCAUUAUUUAGCCCGGCCGCCUCAACUUGCGCCACCUUGCUCGGUAGCGCCUCCUUGCUCCUCGUUGCCUUGAGAGCAAUGGGUUGAGGCUCAUGAAUAGGACCGUUCAACGCGUCGUCCACAUAUCUUGCCUCCUUGAUCAUCAUUCGCCCGCUUACGAACUUCCCCAGAACUUCUUCGGGCGACAUCUUGGUGUACCUAGGAUUUUCACGAAUAUUGUUCACCAAAUGAGGAUCAAGAACGGUAAAGGACCUUAGCAUUAGGCGGACGACGUCGUGAUCCGUCCAUCGCGUGCUUCCGUAGCUCCUUAUUUUGUUGAUAAGGGUCUUGAGCCGGUUGUAUGUUUGAGUUGGCUCCUCGCCCCUUAUCAUUGCGAACCGUCCAAGCUCGCCCUCCACCAACUCCAUCUUGGUGAGUAAGGUGACAUCGUUCCCCUCAUGAGAGAUCUUGAGGGUGUCCCAGAUCUGCUUGGCAUUGUCCAAGCCGCUCACCUUAUGGUACUCGUCCCUGCACAAAGAGGCUAGCAACACAGUAGUAGCUUGUGCAUUUUUAUGAAUCUGUUCAUUAAUAAACAUGGGACUAUCCGUACUAUCAAAGUGCAUUCCACUUUCUACAAUCUCCCAUAUGCUAGGAUGGAGAGAGAACAAGUGACUACGCAUUUUGUGACUCCAAAAUCCGUAGUCCUCUCCAUCAAAAUGAGGAGGUUUACUAAGUGGAAUAGAUAAUAACUGAGCAUUAGUACUUUGAGGAAUACGAGAGUAAUCAAAAGAAAAGUACGAAUUGACCGGUUUCUUUCUCUCGUAUUCGUUGUGGUCGUCGUCCUUUUGGGAGGAAGUAGACUCAUCGCUGUCGUAGUAGACGAUCUCCUUGAUGUGUCUUGUCUUCUUCUUCUUCCCAUCUUUGCGUCUGUGGCCCGAGCCCGAGUCGUUGGACUUGUCAUCCCUUGGCUCGUUGACGAAGGACUCCUUCUCCUUGUCGUUGAUCACGAUUCCCUUCCCUUUAGGAUCCAUCUCUUCGGGCGGUUAGUCCCUUUGUGAAGAGAACGGCUCUGAUACCAAUUGAGAGCACCUAGAGGGGGGGUGAAUAGGUGAUCCUGUGAAACUUGAAAACUUAAGCCACAAAACUUGGUUAAUCGUUAGCACAAUAAUUGCCAAGUGGCUAAAUAGGAAUCCUCAACAAAAUACAAUAACCAACAAAGAUCAAUCACAGAGAUGACACGGUGGUUAUCCCGUGGUUCGGCCAAGACCAACGCUUGCCUACUCCACGUUGUGGCGUCCCAACGGACGAGGGUUGCAAUCAACCCCUCUCAAGCGGUCCAAAGACCCACUUGAAUACCACGGUGUUUUGCUUUGCUUAUCUUUAUCCCACUUGCGAGGAAUCUCCACAAAUUGGAGUCUCUCGCCCUUACACUUAAAGUUCACAAAGAAGCACGGAGUAAGGGAGGGAAGCAACACACACAAAUCCACAGCAAAAUGCGCACACACACGGCCAAGAAUCGAGCUCAAAAGACUAUCUCAAAGUUCUCACUAGAACGGAGCUCGAAUCACUGAGAAUGACAAACGAAUGCGCAAAGACUGAGUGUGGAUGAUCAAGAAUGCUCUAAGGUUGCUUGGUUUUUCUCCUCCAUGCGCCUAGGGGUCCCUUUUAUAGCCCCAAGGCGGCUAGGAGCCGUUGAGAACAAAUCUGGAAGGCCAUCCUUGCCUUCUGUCGUCGGGCGCACCGGACAGUCCGGUGCACACCGGACACUGUCCGGUGCCCGAUUUCCUUCCUUAAAUGGCGAAGCCGACCGUUGCAGAUGUGGGAGCCGUUGGCGCACCGGACAUGUCCGGUGCACACCAGACAGUCCGGUGCCCCCUUCCGACCGUUGGCUCGGCCACGUGUCGCGCGCGGAUUCCGCGGCCGACCGUUGGCCCGGCCGACCGUUGGCUCACCGGACAGUCCGGUGCACACCGGACAGUCCGGUGAAUUUUAGGCGUACGUCGCCGGUGAAUUCCCGAGAGCGGCCAGUUCGCUCGAGCCAGCAUGGCGCACCGGACACUGUCCGAUGCACCACCGGACAGUCCGGUGCCCCAGACCGAAACAGCCUCUUGGCUGUACACAGCCAACUCUUCUCUUUCCUUCUUCUUUCUGUUUCUGAUACUUAGACAAGUAUAUUAGUACACAAAACCAAUGUACUAAGACUUAGAAACAUACCUUUGCUCUUGAUUUGCACUUUGUCCAUUCAUGGGCAUAGAUUUACAUUUAAGCACUUGUGUUGGCACUCAAUCACCAAAAUACUUAGAAAUGGCCCAAGGGCACAUUUCCCUUUCAUGGAUAAAUAAGUGGGGGUGAGCAAUAAAUUUCAUCCUAGAUUUAGAAGGAAUAAAUAUAUCACUAAAUACGUUUUUUUUUACAAUGGCAAGUUAAUCAGGUGGGAGCGAGAAACAAUUCUAGCGAGGCUAGGUUGUACUAGCCCAAAAUUACAUACAACAGAGGAAAAAUGAAGAAAAUGAUGGUCUACCAAAUAUGGCGCAUGAGCCUUAAGGUGCACCUAGAGGGAAGUAGAAGAAUAAAUAUAUAAUAGCAUAUGUUUUUCGCAAUGCAAGGUAAAGUGUAGAUGUGCUCUAACUGGGCUUAGAUUGCAGCGACACAUUAUGCAUCUACAAGGCUUGGUUGCACAUGGAAAAAGAUAGAGAGAGAAAUGUAGACGCAGGACCGGGAGAAAACAUUCAAUGAGACGUGAUUGCACGGACAUAGAACUAGAUAUAAGACAAGAGUUAAAGAAAAAAAGGAACUAAAUUUUCUUGUGCACACUAAGCAUGAAUGGAGUUGUAGUAUCUGAGAUCAAAAUUUAAUUUAUUCCAAGAUGCAGAACAAAAACGUGAUAUUCGUAAUGGUUACAUAGGAACAAAAGUAGAUAAGAAAAAUAGCAAAAAGAUAGUGGUCUACCAGAGAGGGCACAUGUGCCUCAAUUGGCCUAUAGCAUAGUGGCUCAUUAUCCUUCCACCGCUGGUGGCGGGCGGUACUCGCUGCUCUGUGAAGCCAGCCUCACGCAAUGUCCGCCACUUUAGGUGUUGGGAUGCAAAGGCUUUCGCCAAGGCAUCCGAAACCCACUACACAACUUGGAAUGGGUGGUCCACAAUUUGUAGCACUAGACCCAUACACAUGCACCACAAUUGAUAUCCACACUACCUUAUUGCCCCCGCUCGGGUUACAAGCAAUCGCUACUUGCUCAGCGAGUGAGGGGGUUCAGGACUACCUAUUUAAGGUGGUGUUGUACUCUAUGAGCCGGCGAUGUGGUAUUUACCAACUACAAAUAGUGUCAUGCAUGUGACUUGCUAGUUGACAAAGUCUGUUGUCGAGCUAGAUGUAGGCUAUGGAUGAAGCACAUUACGAUAUAGUAGGCCUAUUUUGUUUUUUGUUGUUUUUGGGCCACUAUGGACUUUAUGUUGAUGUUGUGAAAUUUUUUCUUGUGUUUCCUCUUCCUACGAUGUCGAAAGUGGGUGCGUCAGAGAAGAAAGAAAGUGUGGGUUGCAUUGAUUUUACGUCAUACCAUUGAGAACACUAAUCAGAACCAGAAGCAACAAUAUUUCAUACAUAUACAACACUUGUAAUCCAUAUAAACAACUUUCCUUUAAAAUAUCAUAUAAACCACAUGAUUUAUAUCCUGGGUCGGUUAUCUCCACAAAGGGCAAGAAAACGCUCCAAGUUUGUAGUAUAGAACUAAAAGUGUCGACUCUCACGAUUUCUUCCCGACAUAUGCAAACUAGACAAUAAUCACAUAAAAUAAAGAAAUAUGUGUUAACACAAACUUAUAGCAUGUAUUUCAACAUAUAGAUUUUUUAUUAUUAUGGUAGAUUAUAUAAUAUAGGGGUUCCCGAAGAAAUACAUAAAAAACAAGAGCAUUAAAAUUUCCUUUUCAGAUCUGGCUAACUGGUAAAGGGAGUUGGAGUAUCUGAGUUUCCAAAUUUGGGACGUCGCUCUAUAGAAGGAAUAUAAAUACAUUGGAAAAAAAUUCUACAAGGAAAGGUUUAAUACAAGUAGGGCUAAGAAAAACUCAAUGAGGCUUUGGUCGCAUGGUCACAAGACUUGAGACAAGAAACACGAAGACACCAAGGUAAUUAGUAUGAGAGUUUUCCAAAUUUGGUGUCUUGAUGUAGAAAAAAUAAAUAUAUGACAAACAUGUAUUUUCGCAAGGCAUGGUAAAAUAAGUGGGAGUGAGCAAUAAAUUUCAUCCUAGAUUUAGAAGGAACAAAUAUAUCACUAAAUACAUUUUUUCACAAUGCCAAGUUAACCAGGCGGGACCGAGAAACAAUUCUAGCAAGGCUAGGUUGUACUAGUCCGAAACUACGUACAACAAAGGAAAAAUGAAGAAAAUGAUGGUCUACCAAAUAUGGCGCAUGAGCCUUAAGGUGCACCUAGAGGGAAGUAGAAGAAAUAAAUAUAUAAUAGGAUAUGUUUUUCGCAAUGCAAGGUAAAAUGUAGAUGUGCUCUAACUGGGCUUAGAUUGCAGCGAUACAUUAUGCAUCCACAAGGCUUGGUUGCACAUGGAAAAAGAUAGAGAGAGAAAUGUAGACGUAGGACCAGGAGAAAAACAUUCAAUGAUACAUUAUUGCACGGACAUAGAACUAGAUAUAAGACAAGAGUUAAAGAAACAUAAAGGAACUAAAUUUUCUUUUGCAUACUAAGCAUGAAUGGAGUUGUAGUAUCUGAUAUAAAAAAUUAAUUUAUUCCAAGAUGCAGAACAAAAUUGUGAUACUCGUAAUGGUUACAUAGGAACAAAAGUAGAUAAGAAAAAUAGCAAAACGAUAGUAGUCUACCAGAGAGGGCACAUGUGCCUCAAUUGGCCUAUAGCAUAGCGGCUCAUUAUCCUUCCACCGCUGGUGGCGUGCGGUACUCGCUGCUCUGUGAAGCCAGCCUCACGCAAUGUCUGCCACUUUAGGUGUUGGGAUGCAAAGGCUUUCGCCAAGGCACCCGAAACCCACUACACAACUUGGAAUGGGUGGUCCACAGUUUGUAGCACUAGACCUAGGCACAUGCACCACAAUUGACAUCCACACUACCUUAUUGCCCCCGCUCGGGUUACAAGCAAUCGCUACAUGCUCAGCGAGUGAGGGGGUUCAGGACUACCUAUUUAAGAUGGUGUUGUACUCUAUGAGCCGGCGGUGUGGUAUUUACCAACUACAAAUAGUGUCAUGCAUGUGACUUGCUAGUUGACAAAGUCUGUUGUCGAGCUAGAUAUGGGCUAUGGCUGAAGCACAUUAGGAUAUAGUAGGCCUAUUUUUGUUUUUGUUGUUUUUGGGCCACUAUGGACUUUAUGUUGGUGUUGUAAAAUUUUUUCUUGUGUUUCCUCUUCCUAUGAAGUGGAAAGUGGCUGCGUCAUAGAAGAAAGAAAGAGUGGCAAGCAUUGAUUUUACGUCAUCCCAUUGAGACCAGUAACCAAAAGCAGAAGCAACAAUAUUUCAUACAUAUACAACAAUUGUAAUCCAUAUAAACAACUUUCCUUUAAAAUAUAAUAUAAACCACAUGCUUUAUAUCCUGGGUCGGAUAUCCCCAUAAUAGGAUAUGUUUUUUGCAAUGCAAGGUAAAGUGUAGAUGUGCUCUAACUGGGCUUAGAUUGCAGCGACACGUUAUGCAUCCACAAGGCUUGGUUGCACAUGGAAAAAGAUAGAGAGAGAAAUGUAGACACAGGACGAGGAGAAAAACAUUCAACGAGACGUGAUUGCACGGAUAUAGAACUAGAUAUAAGACAAGAGUUAAAUACAAAUAAAUGAACUAAAUUUUCUUUUGCACACUAAGCUUGAAUGGAGUUGUAGUAUCUCAUAUCAAAAUUUAAUUUAUUCCAAGAUACAGAACAAAAAUGUGAUACUCCUAAUGGUUACAUAGGAACAAAAGUAGAUAAGAAAAUUAGCAAAAAGAUAGUGGUCUACCAGAGAGGGCACAUGUGCCUCAAUUGGCCUAUAGCAUAGCGGCUCAUUAUCCUUCCACCGCUGGUGGCGGGCGGUACUCGCUGCUCUGUGAAGCCAGCCUCACGCAGUGUCCGCCACUUUAGGUGUUGGGAUGCAAAGGCUUUCGCCAACGCACCCGAAACCCACUACACAAGUUGGAAUGGGUGGUCCACAGUUUGUAGCACUAGACCCAGGCACAUGCACCACAAUUGACAUCCACACUACCUUAUUGCCCCCGCUCGGGUUACAAGCAAUCGCUACUUGCUCAGCGAGUGAGGGGGUUCAGGACUACCUAUUUAUGGUGGUGUUGUACUCUAUGAGCCGGCGGUGUGGUAUUUACCAACUACAAAUAGUGUCAUGCAUGUGACUUGCUAGUUGACAAAGUCUGUUGUCGAGCUAGAUGUGGGCUAUGGAUGAAGCACAUUACGAUAUAGUAGGCCUAUUUUGUUUUUUGUUGUUUUUGGGCCAAUAUGGACUUUAUGUUGAUGUUGUGAAAUUUUUUCUUGUGUUUUCUCUUCCUACGAUGUGGAAAGUGGGUGCGUCAGAGAAGAAAGAAAGAGUGGCUAGAAUUGAUUUUACGUCAUACCAUUGAGAACACUACUCAGAAGCAGAAGCAACAAUAUUUCAUACAUAUACAACACUUGUAAUCCAUAUAAACAACUUUCCUUUAAAAUAUAAUAUAAACCACAUGAUUUAUAUCCUGGGUCGGCUAUCUCCACAAAGGGCAAGAAAACGCUCCUAAGUUUGUAGUAUAGAACUAAGAGUAUCGACUCUCACGAUUUCUUCCCGACAUAUGCAAACUAGACAGUAAUAACAUAAAAUAAAGAAAUAUGUGUUAACAUGAACUUAUCACAUGUAUUUCAACAUAUAGAUUGUUGAUUAUUAUGGUAGAUUAUAUAAUAUAGGGGUUCCCGAAGAAAUACAUAAAAAACAAGAGCAUUAAAAUUUCCUUUUCAGAUUUGGCUAACUGGUAAAGGGAGUUGGAGUAUCUGAGUUUCCAAAUUUGGGACGUCGCUCUAUAGAAGGAAUAUAAAUACGUUGGAAAAAUUCUACAAGGAAAGGUUUAAUACAAGUAGGGCUAAGAAAAACUCAAUGAGGCUUUGGUCGCAUGGUCACAAGACUUGAGACAAGAAACACAAAGACACCAAAGUAAUUAGUAUGAGAGUUUUCCAAGUUUGGUGUCUUGAUGUAGAAAAAAUAAAUAUAUGACAAACAUGUUUUUUCGCAAGGCAUGGUAAAGUAAGUGGGAGUGAGCAAUAAAUUUCAUCCUAGAUUUAGAAGGAACAAAUAUAUCACUAAAUACGUUUUUUCACAAUGCCAAGUUAACCAGGCGGGACCGAUAAACAAUUCUAGCAAGACUAGGUUGUACUAGCCAGAAACUACAUACAACAAAGGAAAAAUGAAGAAAAUGAUGGUCUACCAGAUAUGGCGCAUGAGCCUUAAGGUGCACCUAGAGGGAAGUAGAAGAAAUAAAUAUAUAAUAGGAUAUGUUUUUCGCAAUGCAAGGUAAAGUGUAGAUGUGCUCUAACUGGGCUAAGAUUGCAGCGAUACAUUAUGCAUCCACAAGGUUGGCACAUGGAAAAAGAUAGAGAGAGAAAUGUAGACGUAGGACCAGGAGAAGAACAUUCAAUGAGACAUGAUUGCACGGACAUAGAACUAGAUAUAAGACAAGAGUUAAAGAAAAAUAAAGGAACUAAAUUUUCUUUUGCACACUAAGUAUGAAUGGAGUUGUAGUAUCUGAUAUCAAAAAUUAAUUUAUUUCAAGAUGCAGAACAAAAUUGUGAUACUCGUAAUGGUUACAUAGGAACAAAAGUAGAUAAGAAAAAUAGCAAAAAGAUAGUGGUCUACCAGAGAGGGCACAUGUGCCUCAAUUGGCCUAUAGCAUAGCGGCUCAUUAUCCUUCCACCGCUGGUGGCGGGCGAUACACGCUGCUCUAUGAAGCCAGCCUCACGAAAUGUCCGCCACUUUAGGUCUUGGGAUGCAAAGGCUUUCGCCAAGGCACCCGAAACCCACUACACAACUUGGAAUGGGUGGUCCACAGUUUGUAGCACUAGACCCAGGCACAUGCACCACAAUUGACAUCCACACUACCUUAUUGCCCCCGCUCGGGUUACAAGCAAUCGCUACU